rnacentral:rRNA from 1 species
AUUGAACGCUGGCGGCAUGCCUUACACAUGCAAGUCGAACGGCAGCACGGGAGCAAUCCUGGUGGCGAGUGGCGAACGGGUGAGUAAUGUAUCGGAACGUGCCCAGUCGUGGGGGAUAACGCAGCGAAAGCUGUGCUAAUACCGCAUACGAUCUAUGGAUGAAAGCGGGGGAUCGCAAGACCUCGCGCGAUUGGAGUGGCCGAUAUCAGAUUAGCUAGUUGGUGGGGUAAAAGCUUACCAAGGCGACGAUCUGUAGCUGGUCUGAGAGGGCGACCAGCCACACUGGAACUGAGACACGGUCCAGACUCCUACGGGAGGCAGCAGUGGGGAAUUUUGGACAAGGGGCGCAAGCCUGAUCCAGCAAUGCCGCGUGCAGGAUGAAGGCCUUCGGGUUGUAAACUGCUUUUGUACGGAGCGAAAAGGCUCUCUCUAAUACAGGGGGCUCAUGACGGUACCGUAAGAAUAAGCACCGGCUAACUACGUGCCAGCCGCCGCGGUAA